rnacentral:rRNA from 1 species
UACGGGGGGAGCAAGCGUUGUUCGGAUUUACUGGGCGUAAAGGGCGCGUAGGCGGCAAAUUAAGUCAGCUGUGAAAUCUCCGAGCUUAACUCGGAAAGGUCAACUGAUACUGUGCGGCUAGAGUGCGGAAGGGGCAACUGGAAUUCUUGGUGUAGCGGUGAAAUGCGUAGAUAUCAAGAGGAACACCUGCGGCGAAGGCGGGUUGCUGGGCCGACACUGACGCUGAUGCGCGAAAGCCAGGGGAGCGAACGGG